rnacentral:misc_RNA from 1 species
AAGGAUAUAUGGGAAUGGCAAGGAAACAGAGUUGAUUGAUGAUGAUGAAGAUAGUUUUGGACAGACUCUUGGGGAUGUCGUUCCUUGGGACCAAAUGAGGACAGAUUGUAGGAGUGACAAAGAUCUGAUGAGUGAGCCUUGUAAGCCUGAAAAGUGGUUGAAGUGUAGCGAUUUUGAUGAGAAGAGCAUUCUUGACUGUGAAGAUACUAAACUAACCAAGCCCAUGAGACAUGAUGAGGCUAUAGUGACAGAUGUAGGUCUUAUACAGGUUGAUAGUUUCUAUCAAGAGAAUCCUAAAUGGUAUGAUUCUCCUUGUGGGUUAGACUCCAGUGCAGAUUGUGGGGGCAGUUCAUUCAGACAUGGGGAGAUUAUUUAGUGCCCUGGAUAGCUGGUUAACCCACUCUAACAUAGUCAUUGAGUUUAUAUCUUGCCCAAUGCCCAUUCAUUUGUUCUGUCUGGUGGAAAUGGGCUGUAAAUUUAUGUAUAUUGAAGAUUGGAGCUUCUCACAUGCUUUUAGGUAUCUUUGUUGUGUGUUGUUUUGUAAAGUAUGCCCAAUUGGGUUUUCUGCACAUACCUUACUUAUGACUAUUUGUAACCAUUUUCUGGACAUUUAUGACUUUCAGGUGGUUCCAAAUAGUCAUAAGUAAGGUAUG